UGGCGGCAGGCCUAACACAUGCAAGUCGAGCGGAAACGACACUAACAAUCCUUCGGGUGCGUUAAUGGGCGUCGAGCGGCGGACGGGUGAGUAAUGCCUAGGAAAUUGCCUUGAUGUGGGGGAUAACCAUUGGAAACGAUGGCUAAUACCGCAUAAUGCCUACGGGCCAAAGAGGGGGACCUUCGGGCCUCUCGCGUCAAGAUAUGCCUAGGUGGGAUUAGCUAGUUGGUGAGGUAAUGGCUCACCAAGGCGACGAUCCCUAGCUGGUCUGAGAGGAUGAUCAGCCACACUGGAACUGAGACACGGUCCAGACUCCUACGGGAGGCAGCAGUGGGGAAUAUUGCACAAUGGGCGAAAGCCUGAUGCAGCCAUGCCGCGUGUAUGAAGAAGGCCUUCGGGUUGUAAAGUACUUUCAGUUGUGAGGAAGGGGGUAGCGUUAAUAGCGCUAUCUCUUGACGUUAGCAACAGAAGAAGCACCGGCUAACUYCGUGCCARCAGCCGCGGUAAUACGGAGGGUGCCGAGCGUUAAUCGGAAUUACUGGGCGUAAAGCGCAUGCAGGUGGUCAUUAAGUCANAUGUGAAAGCCCNGGGCUCAACCUCGGAACUGCAUUUGAAACUGGUGAACUAGAGUACUGUAAAAGGGGGUAGAAUUUCA
rnacentral:rRNA from 1 species